AGUGAACGCUGGCGGUAGGCCUAACACAUGCAAGUCGAACGGCAGCACAGGAGAGCUUGCUCUCUGGGUGGCGAGUGGCGGACGGGUGAGGAAUACAUCGGAAUCUACUCUGUCGUGAGGGAUAACGUAGGGAAACUUACGCCAAUACCGCAUACGACCUACGGGUGAAAGCAGGGGACCUUCGGGCCUUGCGCGAUUGAAUGAGCCGAUGUCGGAUUAGCUAGUUGGCGGGGUAAAGGCCCACCAAGGCGACGAUCCGUAGCUGGUCUGAGAGGAUGAUCAGCCACACUGGAACUGAGACACGGUCCAGACUCCUACGGGAGGCAGCAGUGGGGAAUAUUGGACAAUGGGCGCAAGCCUGAUCCAGCCAUACCGCGUGGGUGAAGAAGGCCUUCGGGUUGUAAAGCCCUUUUGUUGGGAAAGAAAUCCAGCUGGCUGAUACCCGGUUGGGAUGACGGUACCCAAAGAAUAAGCACCGGCUAACUUCGUGCCAGCAGCCGCCGUAA
rnacentral:rRNA from 1 species